rnacentral:rRNA from 1 species
GGAACGCGUGGGGAAGAGGCGGGUGUAAAACGGAGGGUGCAUGGUUUUUCCGGUUUUAAUGGGUUUAAAGGUGGGUUAGGGGGGCCGUUAAGGCAUUUGUGAAACCUCCUAGCGUAACUGGGAAACUGCCAUUGAUACUAUUGGUCUUGAAUUCUGUUGAGGUGGGCGGAAUAUGUCAUGUAGCGGUGAAAUGCAUAGAUAUGACAUAGAACACCAAUUGCGAAGGCAGCUCACUAAGCAGAUAUUGACGCUGAGGCACGAAAGCGUGGGGAUCAAACAGGAUUAGAUACCCCUGUAGUC